GUCCCUGUAGCGCAAUGGAUAGCGUGUUGGACUUCUAAUCCAAAGGUCGUGGGUUCGAAUCCUACCUGAGAUG
rnacentral:tRNA from 1 species